rnacentral:tRNA from 1 species
CUACAAGUAAGCUAAAUUAAAGCUUUUGGGCCCAUAACCCAACUAUAGUAAUACUCUUGCAGA